rnacentral:rRNA from 1 species
ACCAGAGUACCGCGGGACACGAGAAACCCCGUGGGAAGCAGGGGGGACCACCCUCCAAGGCAAAACACAGAUAUCGACCGAUAGCGCAUAGUACCAUGAGGGAAAGGUGAAAAGCACCCCGGGAGGGGAAUGAAACAGAACCUGAAACCGUAUGUUUACAAGCAGUCGGAGACCGUAUAUAUAUCAGGUCGACGGCGUGCCUAUUGAAGAAUGAACCGGCGAGUUAUGAGGUCCAGCGAGGUUAAGCAGGAAAUGCGGAGCCGAAGCGAAAGCGAGUCUUAACAGGGCGAGUAGUUGGACUGCAUAGACCCGAAACCACAGUGAUCUACCCAUGUCCAGGUUGAAGCACAGGUAAAAAUGUGUGGAGGACCGAACCUAUAUCCGUUGAAAAGGGUUAGGAUGAGGUGUGGGUAGGGGUGAAAUUCCAAUCGAACGUGGAGAUAGCUGGUUCUCCCCGAAAUAGCUUUAGGGCUAGCCUCAGGGUAAAGAUUGCAGGCGGUAGAGCACUGAUCAGGAGAGGGACCUACCCGGUUACCAAACCCAGUCAAACUACGAAUGGCUGCAAUUAUACCUGGGAGUCAGACUACGACUUAUAAGGGCCGUGGUCAAAAGGGAAACAGCCCAGAUCAUCAGCUAAGGUCCCAAAUGCCGUGCUAAGUGGCGAAGGAUGUGGCGUUUCAUAAACAACCAGGAUGUUGGCUCAGAAGCAGCCACCAUUUAAAGAGUGCGUAAUAGCUCACUGGUCGAGAGACGCUGCGCCGAAAAUGUCCGGGGCUCAAGCACGGAACCGAAGCUAUGGCAUUGCGUAAGCAAUGGGUAGGGGAGCGUUCUUAUGGGGAAGAAGCAUUACCGUAAGGAGAUGUGGACACAUAAGAAGUGAGAAUGCCGGUAUGAGUAUCGAAAAGAAAGGUGAGAAUCCUUUCCACCGAAAGCCCGAGGGUUCCUGAGCAACGAUCGUCGUCUCAGGGUAAGUCGGGACCUAAGCCGAGGCACAGACGCAUAGGCGAUGGACAACAGGUUGAAAUUCCUGUACCGGAUGGAGUCAUUUGAGCAAUGGAGUGACGCAGGAGGGCACAUGAUCGCGCGACUGGAAGAGCGCGUCCAAGUGCGUAUGUUGAAUCGGAGGCAAAUCCCCGAUUCUGAAAGCAGAGACAUGAUGGGGAGUUAUAAGCGAUUAUGACGAACUCAUGGAUCCCACACUGCCAAGAAAAACUUCUAGCGAGACGAAAUCCGCCCGUACCGUAAACCGACACAGGUAGGCGGGGAGAGAAUCCUAAGGUGCGCGGGAAAACCCUCGUUAAGGAACUCGGCAAAUUGCAUCCGUAACUUCGGGAGAAGGAUGGCCCUGAGUAGGCGAAGUGCAGAAACGCACGGAACAGAAAAGGGUGGCAGAAAAGAGGCCCAAGCAACUGUUUACCAAAAACACAGGUGCCUGCGAAAGCGAAAGCUGAAGUAUAGGUGCUGACGCCUGCCCGGUGCUGGAAGGUUAAGGAGAGAGGUUAGCGCAAGCGAAGCUUUGAACUGAAGCCCCAGUGAACGGCGGCCGUAACUAUAACGGUCCUAAGGUAGCGAAAUUCCUUGUCGGGUAAGUUCCGACCCGCAUGAAAGGCGUAAUGAUUUGGGCGCUGUCUCAACGAGGGGCCCGGUGAAAUUGAAAUACCUGUGAAGAUGCAGGUUACCCGCGACUGGACAGAAAGACCCCAUGGAGCUUUACUGCAGCUUGAGAUUGAAUCCCGGUGGCAGACGCACAGGAUAGGUGGGAGGCUUUGAGAUAGUGACUUUGGUUGCUAUGGAGCCGACGUUGGGAUACCACCCUUCUGUUGCUGGGAUUCUAACGCGAAGAUUAACAACCUUGCGGACCAUCUCAGGUAGGCGGUUUGACUGGGGCGGUCGCCUCCGAAAGAGUAACGGAGG